rnacentral:rRNA from 1 species
GAUGAACGCUGGCGGCGUGCCUAAUACAUGCAAGUCGAGCGAACGGACGAGAAGCUUGCUUUUCUGAUGUUAGCGGCGGACGGGUGAGUAACACGUGGAUAACCUACCUAUAAGACUGGGAUAACUUCGGGAAACCGGAGCUAAUACCGGAUAAUAUUUUGAACCGCAUGGUUCAAAAGUGAAAGACGGUCUUGCUGUCACUUAUAGAUGGAUCCGCGCUGCAUUAGCUAGUUGGUAAGGUAACGGCUUACCAAGGCAACGAUGCAUAGCCGACCUGAGAGGGUGAUCGACCACACUGGGACUGAGACACGGUCCAGACUCCUACGGGAGGCAGCAGUAGGGAAUCUUCCGCAAUGGGCGAAAGCCUGACGGAGCAACGCCGCGUGAGUGAUGAAGGUCUUCGGAUCGUAAAACUCUGUUAUUAGGGAAGAACAUAUGUGUAAGUAACUGUGCACAUCUUGACGGUACCUAAUCAGAAAGCCACGGCUAACUACGUG